rnacentral:rRNA from 1 species
UACGUAGGUGGCAAGCGUUGUCCGGAUUUACUGGGCGUAAAGAGCGCGCAGGCGGUCGUUCAAGUCGCGUGUGAAAGCCCCCGGCUCAACUGGGGAGGGUCACGCGAUACUGAUCGACUCGAAGGCAGGAGAGGGAAGUGGAAUUCCCGGUGUAGUGGUGAAAUGCGUAGAUAUCGGGAGGAACACCAGUGGCGAAGGGCGACUUCCUGGCCUGUUCUUGACUGCUGAGGCG